GACGAACGCUGGCGGCGUGCUUAACACAUGCAAGUCGAACGAUGAAGCUAGAGCUUGCUCUGGGGAAUUAGUGGCGAACGGGUGAGUAACACGUGAGUAACCUGCCCCGAACUCUGGGAUAACUGCUGGAAACGGUAGCUAAUACUGGAUACGACCUACGAAGGCAUCUUCUGUAGGUGGAAAGAAUUUCGGUUCGGGAUGGACUCGCGGCCUAUCAGCUUGUUGGUGAGGUAAUGGCUCACCAAGGCGACGACGGGUAGCCGGCCUGAGAGGGUGACCGGCCACACUGGGACUGAGACACGGCCCAGACUCCUACGGGAGGCAGCAGUGGGGAAUAUUGCACAAUGGGCGCAAGCCUGAUGCAGCAACGCCGCGUGAGGGAUGACGGCCUUCGGGUUGUAAACCUCUUUUAGUAGGGAAGAAGCGAAAGUGACGGUACCUGCAGAAAAAGCACCGGCUAACUACGUGCCAGCCGCCGCCGCGG
rnacentral:rRNA from 1 species